UUUGAAUAGAAAGCUUAAUUCAAUUUUUUAGUUAAUUCAGAAAUGUAUGUUCUCAUUUGAAGUUGUAUGGAUUGCUUUUGUGACACUUUUGAACAUGCUUUGUGUCGUUUUUGAGGCUGAAAACCUUAGGAAUUGCAUAGAAGAGAGCAACAAGCAUCUUAAGAAUUUCUCCUUGUGUUCCACGGAAGAAUUAAGUCAUAAAGGUCUGGAACGACAUGAGGUUUUAACAGGAAUUCAAAAGGAAUCCACAGAGAACCUGACGAUGCUCCAUGGAGAUUCAGCUUCACGUUCAGAAUUGAACGAAGACAUGUAUUACAGAAUCCUUUACAGUAUAUCCAAGUUGGAGCUAAGAAAAAUGGCACAUAAAAUGGAAAGCAGAGUCCCAAGAGACUGAAAGUCAUUGGAUUAUGAAGAUUUGUGAAUUCUAAUGAAGAAUCUGGAAUUGAGGGCUCACAAAGAUCCCUACUGAACAAGCUCUUUAAUGACACAACAGUAGCAAUCGAUCACAGCUGAGCUCCUUAGAUAAAAUGACCUUAGUAAUUCACAUUUCUAGGGACAAGAACCUGUAUCGAUACUCCAGGCAGUUAAUAUAGUAGCCCUUGGACACCCUACAGGCUUGUUUCUGUCAUGUAUCAAUCGAGUAUUUCCUCCAUAGCUGCACUGUUGCUAGGCUGCUGUUUACACUGACACAAACCAAACAUGCUCACGGUUUACUGAGCGUCUGCAGUGACAGCUGCUGAUAUGUAGUUAGGAAUGUUUAUUAUGCUUUUUUUAUUUAUUGUUAUUAUUAUUACAUAAAACACAUUUAGAGGAAUUGUUCACCCAGAUCAAGUUUAGUCAAGAAUAGUCAAACUUGAAAGUCAAGUUUGCAUCAACAUGAGUAAAUUUAGUUGUGAAUUAUGUUUCAUUCAUAUCCUAAGGUAAAAUGUUAACUUUGACAUUCCUAAAACAUUUAUUUACUAUUGAGUUUGGGUGGGACUUGUCAAAGUGCUCAUCUAUUCUAAUAUUUUUAUUUAUUUAUUUUUACUUAGAGACUAGGACUCACACAUUUAACAUCACAAAUGUGAACUACGAGGUGUUACCUGCUUUUGCUCCAGAAACAUAGGCAGAAAUAGAGCGAGGGAUUUUAUUGAACAUUUCAGACCAAUUUUUAUGACUAAAUUUAAGAUUUUUUGCAGCUUUUAAUAUGCUAGCAUAUAGAUGACGUCAAAGCUAGUUGACAUAAAUGAAAAGGUAUAAUUAAAGAAUGGUUUUUAUGUGACAUUUAGGGAGUAAAACAGAUGGUAGAACAGAAAUGUAAGUUGUAACUCAUUUUAAAUACAGUAUUCUCUAUGUAUGAAAGGUAUAAAUCAGCAGAUGGUGAUUUAUUAUAUAUUUCACAUAUUUCUUGGCCCAUGGACAAAGCAAAGCAGGAUAUAUAAAUGUGCUUGAGGAUAUCUCUUUACUUGCUCCUAACUACUUUGAUAUCUUUCAGAGAUUUGAUUAAAUGAACCUUGCAGACUUUGCUGAAGUCUGGUUCUUCCUGAAAUGCUCGAUGCAUCAGUUAACUUGUCAACAAAACUUUGUUCCCCAGUGGACUGAUAAAGCUGGUGUACCGAAACAAUCAUCCUAUGACAUUAUCAAAUCAAAGUGGAUUGAGUAAAUCAGCAAUGUAGUCACUUAAAGUUCAGGGGUCUUAGCAUUACACUUCACGUCUGUAAAGCUACAUAGACAUGUCAGUAUUGCAUCAGCCGGACAUUUCCAGCUGAUAUCAGUACAGAGUCAGUUAGCUGAAGCGUGCCUCAUUGUGUGUUAUCUUUCAUGUGUGUUUAGUUUAAUUUUAGGAAAUACUAUGGCAGUAAAACAAUCAGACAACUUUUUACUGAUAACAGUCAAUCCUGAGUCUGUUUGGAGGCUCAGAACAAGACUUUAUGUUGACCGGUAGUUAUGAACAACCUCAAUAAGAGUGCCCCACCUUAUCUGCUCCACCACAUUCAAUCUGAAUCAGAGAAGUAUACAGAAAUAUUGAUGCUGAUAUGGUUAUCAAAUUACUAUCCCAAUGUUUAUUUUGUAGUCAGUUUGUGAUUGGUUGAAAGUUUAGGUAUGCUGGUUUAUAGAUAAUGGCAAAAGA
rnacentral:lncRNA from 1 species